GGAGUCGGUCCGGCGGAGUUUUGCGGGUAUUUGAAUUGUUGAUAAUUAUCCAGUUUGUCUCGAUAAGCGUGAAACUAGAUAUUUUGAUUAUUAUAUUAAUUCUUAUCUUGUAAUAAUUGCAGUGGGACCCGCAUACUAAUGACUGAUUAAAAAGCCCCGUUUUGAUGAUUAUCUUGAAAACCAGUACCGAUUGGACCCCGCUAUAUUAAUAUAAAGCUAUUAAAUACGUAUUUUCAUGUCAUAAACGAUCCAAAGGGGUACCAAUUAUUUGUAAAUAUAAAUAGACUUUUCUAUAGCUGAUUUUCACCCGUAAAAUCAUUUCACCAGUUUCUUUUCACGAAUACCGAGAGAAACCGAGCUGCGUUCUUCGUGUUCUUCGUAAUCAAACGAAGAUUUGAAGGUGUUAUUGGAGUCAGAAUCAAGCGUACGAAUAGUCAAAUCGAAGGUAUCGAAGAGUAGAACCUAUAUCUGCAAUCAAAAACAACAUGAGAUUCAUAGGUAGGGAGUAGUUGAAGUUUUAAAAUUCGAAGUUAUUAAGAUUUAAAUAGUGGAUUUUUGUAAACGUGUUUGUUUGAUUGUUUUGAUGUUUCCAUGUUGUAGUACGUGCUUUUCUCGUCGUUUUGGUAUAUUAUAUGUUGAUUUUUGAGUUCGAUAACAUAUAGAAAAAGGGGUUUGAUUAUCGAAGCUUGUUCUUGAAUGUUCUUGAAGGUGUAUGAAUGUUCUUAAUUGAAAAUUAGGGGUUUUUAAUUCGUUAAUUCUGGGAAGAAUUGAAGGUUACCAGCGUGUUUGUAUGGUUGAGAGGAGUCCGCGUGUGUAAUUCUCGAGGGUGGAGGAGCUCGUUUUCGAGCUAAUCGGAGAAAAUAGCCGCGGCGGGGACGGCGACUUUUCGCCGGCUUUUUCCGGCCGAUUGGCUGAUUUGUUUCGAAAUACAAGCAGUAAAAUAGAUUCUUGAGGUUAUAAAAGUUUAAUCUGGAGGUUUUGGUGUCGAACGGAGGUUUGCAGUGCCGUUUCCGGCGAAGUCGGGUACCGGCGGUGGCAAAUUGCCGUUUGGUACCCAGACUUAUGAAGAUGAUGAAGUUAUGGUAUCGAAGUUUUAAAUCUUACAAACCAACCCCUGAAACUUCUGAAAGUUACACUUUAUACCCUGGCCGAAAACUUUCAAAAGUUUACAAAAUAAACCUUUUGAUUUAAUUUUCAAAAAUUGUUUUAUUUAAUUAUUUUAAAUUCCAAAAAUAGUUUUUAAUUAUUUCUUUAUUCAAAAAUAAAUCUAAAUUAGUUUAUUAAUUAAUUUUAAUUAGUAAUUAAUUAUUUUAAUUGGUCAAUUAAUUUAAAUAUUAAUUGAUUAAUUAUUUUAAUUAAUUAUUAAUUGAUUUUAAUUGAUUAAUUAAUUGGAUUUAAUUAUCCUUUUUGAUUUAAAAAUUCCGAAAAAUAGUUUCGAGCUUUAAAAUAUUUUUCCAAAUUAUUUUCAAGGCUCGAUAAUUGUUUAUGAAUGAUUUCAAGUCCAAUUUCAAGUAUUUGGGACUUGAUUAUUUAUUCGAAAAGUGAUUCUUUUAUCGAUUUUAAUUCCGAAAAAUGUUUAAAAAUUCUGGAAAAUUCCCGAAAAAUCAUUUUUAACCCAAGACUUGAUUUAAUAUCAAUUGGGAUGGGAAACCUUAUGUGUUGUGUGUUGUCUGCUAUUGGUUGGAUGUGUUAUGUGCCGAUAGGAGAGUGAGAAAACUGUUUUGAGCAUAACUUUUGAUCCGUAAGUCGGAAUCAAGUGAAACGAAAGAGAGACAGAAGCUUAUAACGUCUAUUUUAAUAUGAUGUGACUAUAUGGCUGAGUCUAUAAGGUGAAUAAUUGUUGAUAAGUAUGCAUAAUGUGAUAAUAUGUGAUCUAAGUGCUAUCAAGUGAUGAUUAUGUGAAGUACGUGUUAGUUUUGAUAUUGUGAAGUGAUAAAUGAUUCGUAUGAUUGAUAUUGGAUAAGAAUAUAUGGAUUAUAGUUAUUGGAUUUUGUUGGUUGAUUAAUGAUUGAGAUAGGAUAAUAGGUGGAUAGUCUUAUACAUAGACGAGACGAUGUCGGAUUUUCGAUAAGGAUUUAUAUGAUAAUUGAUUGGUGAUAUGUUAUGUGGAAUAUGAUUGACUAUAUGUUAGAGUCAAAGCAUGCUUAUGUGUUACGUGGUAUCUGAUAAGUUUAAAGGGGUAUAUAAGUGGGUAUCGGUAUACGUGAUAUGUAUAUGCGAUAUAUUGUUUAGUGACUAUAGUAUUAUCUUAUUCUCGUAAAGGAUUUGGACGAGACGUGUACGCUCGAAGACGUCAGGAAGUCGAAAUGGUAUUGCAAAGCGAAUAAGGGAUGAAUCGAGUAAGCGAAGCGAAGAUGUACGGUAGAUAGAGUAUAGCCAGAGAUGGUCUAGAGACUAUGAGAUGCAUAGAUUGUGAAAGUGGAAAGAUGAGAUUGAGAUGUGAGACUGGAGUCAGAUUUAAGGCAAGUAUCCUAAACCUUUCUCUUGGAUAUAUUGCAAAUAUUCUGAUCCAUUCCUUUGGUAUAUGUUUCAAGUAUUCAUACCUUUCUUUUCAAUGUUCGAAAGUGCGAGUAUUCUGACCCAUUCUUUCUAAUCUUCAAGUUUCUAAAGAAUUUCCGUUUUACAAAUUAAUUCGAAGUUCAGAUUGUCAUUGAAGCAUGUGUUGCUCAGUGAUAGUUAGAGCUUUGAAUGAAUUGGGAUCUUCUUGAUUAUUCAACCCGCCAUUGUCAUGCUGGUUUAGCAGGCUAAAUUCAGUUGCUUAGCCGAUAAUGGAGGAUACUGAAUAGUUGAGGAUUUCCUGAACUGUGAUUUAUGAAAUGAUGGAUCAUGAUUUAUGAAUAGAUUAUUAUCAAAGUUUGAAUUGGAAUUAUUCUGUUGUUGAUGAUAUUUAUGAUGAUGUUCUGUUAAUUUACAUUGGCUUCUUGAAUUGAAUUAGAGAAUUGGAUUAUUGUUUUUAUAUAAACCUGUGGACCAGAUUCGUGGUCAUGUUAGGCCAAUGAGUGCCUUGGAUCCAGUGAUAGAGCAUGGCGGGGCCUGCUCGGGGUUAGUGCGGAACUGAUCAGCUGCCUAACCUUGGUUUUAAUUAAAAUGUGAUAGUCCAAUUCAAUAAUUCUUUGGAAAGAUUGAAUUUCUCAGUUUAAAUGCUGCAAGGUAUUGUAAAUCAUUCUAUACAAUACCAUGAACUCAUGAACUCAUGUUGAAUCCUUUUAUAUCUUGAACUCGUGAACUUCUAUUAUAUCAUUUCAGAACUAUCAUUGUUUAUUAUUACUUGCUGAGCAUUGUUGCUCACCCUUGCUAUUCCUUUCUAACCAUUUCAGAAAGGCUUAAAGAUGAGAUGAUUGAUUGAGAUUGUGAGUAAGGCUAAUGCUAGGCGAGGAGACAGAGUUGAGGAUCCAGUGGUCGAGGAGUGUUCAGGAAAGUUGAUGAGGUUGGUGCAAGCUGGAAUAGUUGACAGUGAUUCUUCUUAUCGAAGAUGAUCUGAUUUGGUAAGAGAUGUUGUGUAAUAAUAGUGGUAGAUUCUAAUUUCAAUACUGUAACCUGGAUGCGAUCCUGUUGCUUUUAGGGGGUUUAAAUGUUCUCUUUCGAAUCAUUUAUUAAAGUUUAAAUGUUCUCUUGAAAUUCUCCUAUUAUGGCUUUCAAGUUUGAAAUUCAGGUUUUGAAAUCAUUCGAUUUAUGUUCUCAUUCAAAUCUUUUAUUAAAUGUUUUCAGGUUUUAAAUUCUUUGAUUUCAUUAUAAAAAAAAAAAAAAAUUUAGGUUUUCGAAAGUGUUUUAAAAAGGUUUUUAUGUGGUGACGUCAGAAUCCAGGCCCCCGGAUUCCUGGACCGUCACAGUUGGUAUCAGAGCCACAGGUUAUAAGUAUUUGAAAUUAGAAUAUAGAUCAUAGUUAUAGGUUUUCUAGAGAAGAAUAUUGUGUGACCUCGUACAGAGGUAUUAUUAGACUAUUUAGAAAUAGUCUAGAGAUGUGAUAGAGGUAUAGAAUCUAGUUAGACGAUCAAGUUGAGUGUAUAAGGUUAGAGAGAUUUUGAUUCCUAAGUUAGACAUAUGAUUUCUAGUAUGUUGACUCAUUGAGAUGUUGAAUUGUGAGGAAGGUCAAGAUUAGACCUAGAUAGAAGAGUUUGAUAGUGAAUGAUUGAGUUAAGAAUGGUGAAGAUGCAGAGUUCAGAGUAUUCUGACUAUACUGCAUAGUUGAGAAUGGUCUAUGGUAUUGAUUUGAGAAUGAUAAAGAUGCAUGGUUCAUAGUAUGUUGACCAUGUCAGAUGUUUGGAAGAAGUAUAUUGUUUUUGUGAGAUAUUGAAGAAGGAGUGUAAGAUAUGAGUUAUGUUGGAUUAGAAGGGGGAUUUGUAGAUAGAGGUUGAUAGAUGAGAAGUGAAUGAUAAAAAGUAUGUGGAAUUGAGUGUAGUUAUUAGGGGAGAUGUCGGUGAGUAAUUUAGAACGUUAAUCCUCGACGACAACGCUUUAAGCUAAUCGGGACUUCAAACGACAUCAAGGUGGGCCCAUAACCCACAAGUUGAUGAUCCAGACAAUCGAAGAUACGCUACGUGUUGUGCUAUGGAAUUCAAAGGCAACUGGAUGAAACAUGAGAACGUGAACUAUUUGGGCCAGACUUAUUACGAACUAUAACGUCUACGAUGACAUCUUACGAGGCUAUUACGAGUCAACAUCGAUUGAUUAUCAAGAACGUUGAAAAGAAGACAUACGACGGACAAUGAUUUAUUGAAGCAGAGCGAAAAUCUGAGAAGACCUGGGCAAUACCUCUCUUCAACUAAAAGUUCUUUUGAUUCUUUUCUCAUUAGUGAGAUAUUAUCAUGAUAUCCUUUCGACCAAAGUUUCGAUAAAGGAGAUUUUCAAUUUCUCAAAUUCUAAGAUGAUAAUGAUAUUGAUUAUUGGUGUGAGUUAGUAUUGAAUCGGUGUAUGAUAAAGACGUGUUUAUGAAGAGACAGUGGAAUUCCUUGAUAUUAUUUGAUAUUCUUUGAUAUCCUUUGAUAUUCAUCCAUAUUCUUUGAUGUCCCUUAAUAUUCGUCGAUAUUCUUUGACACUCCUUGAUAUUCCUUGAUAUCUUUUUGAUAUUCCUUAAUAUAUUCCUCGAUAAUCCUUAACAUUCCUUGAUGCUCCUUGAGAUUUCUUGGAUUCUUUCCAUCUGAUUGGGAUGAACAACCCUAUGAAUAGGGGACACAAGGUAUACCUGUCUGUGUGAUAGGAGUUGGAUGGGACGCCAUCACUUGUGUGUGUUGUGAUUACAAGAAGGUUAACAACCUUUAGUAGUGUCUAAUAUGGACACGCAACAUUAAGUUCAUUUGAUCGUAUUGAUCUCCCAGUCACUCUUGUAUUCCAAUGUGACCUAUUUUGAAAAUAUCUUGUUCCUCCGAAAUUCCCAAAGAUUGAUUCUUGGGAAAUGAAGUUUGCAAUUGUGAAGGUGUUGAUUUUCCUAUUUCUUUAACUUUGAAGGUAUGCCAAAGUUGAUCAAAGGCGGAUGAGCAUGUGAUAUUAUGAAGCGUGUACCACGAUCUUAUAAAUGAUACGUUUUAGUUUCUUCGGAGGAUUCCGAGGACGGAAUCCUUAUAAGGGGGGUAGAAUGUAAUAUCCCAUAUUUUUAAAUUUAGAUUUGAUUGUUAUAAAUCUAUCUGUCUAAAUAUUAUUGUUGGCUUUAGUUGAAAAGUGAAUUGAUUAUGUGAAUAGUUUUAUAUGAUUAUACUUGUUUUGUGGAUUAAUAUGGAUUUUACAAAUAUUGCGUCCUCCUUCUUUCUCUGAUUCCGAGGACGGAAUCCCUAUAAGGAGGGUAGAUUGUAAUAACCCGGAUUUUAAAAAUAUCUUUAUUAAUAUUAUAAAUGAUUUUCUUAAAAAGUAAGGAAUAAGAUUUAAUAUUUUAUUCCAGUUUAAGGAGUUUUCAAGGUUUUAUAUUUAAACCCCGGGUUAUUGUGUUAUUGAUAAAUAAUUGUAUUUUCAAAAGUGAUUUUCAUAUAUUGUUUCGAAAAUUCUGUAUGAAUAUUAUGUGAAUAUAUGUGUGAUGUGAGUAAGUGGUAUUGGUGGAUUUGUUGGUUAAUUAAUUAUGGUUAAUUAUGAGUAUUAUAUGAUUAAUAUAUGAAUUUUUGUGAAUUUUAUAUUAUCUGGUUUAUUGCGUUAACUGCUCAUAUGUGUUCGUAUUUGAGAGAUUUCAAUUUCUAUAUGCUCAGGAGAAAAUAUAGUUUAUUUGGAUAUUUUCAUAUCGAUUUAUGGAAUGUUAGAUGAUUUUAUAAUCGAUUUACGGAUUUAAUUGCGUAUAUUUAUAUUUAUUUAUUAAUUAUUUGACUUCCGUAAAACCGUCCACUCGUAACGAGGUAGCAAAUUUUCUUCCCGGAAGUUUCAACAAAACUGACCUUUAGCCUAAUUUGAAUAUUCCGGACACUUUUCGUGUUUUGACUUUUUCGAUCCGGAGUACGGUUUUCCCCGGAGUCGGUCCGGCGGAGUUUUUCGGGUAUUUUAAUUGUUGAUAAUUAUCCAGUUUGUCUCGAUAAGCGUGAAACGAGAUAUUUUGAUUAUUAUAUUCAUCCUUAUCUUGUAAUAAUUGCAAUGGGACCCGCAGACCAAUAAUUGAGUUAAAAAGCCCCGUUUUGAUGAUUAUCUCGAAAACCAGUACCGAUUGGACCCCGCUUUAUUAAUAUAAAGCUAUUAAAUACGUAUUUUCAUGUCAUAAACGAUCCAAAGGGGUACCAAUUAUUUGUAAAUAUAAAUAGACCUUUCUAGAGCUUAUUUUCACCCGUAAAAUCAUUUCACCAGUUUCUCUGCACGAAUACCGAGAGAAACCGAGCGGUGUUCUUCGUGUUCUUCAUAAUCAAACGAAGAUUUGAAGGUGUUAUUGGAGUCAGAAUCAAGCGUGCGAAUAGUCAAAUCGAAGAUAUCGAAGAGUAGAACCCAAAUCAAUCAUCAAAAACAACAUGAGAUUCACAGGUAGGGAGUAAUUGAAGUUUUAAAAUUCGAAUUAUUAUGAUUUAAAUAGUGAAUUUUUGCAAACGUGUUUGUUUGAUUGUUUGGAUGAUUCCAUGUUGUAGAACGUGUUUUUCUCGUCGUUUUGGUAUAUUAUAUGUUGAAUUUUGAGUUCGGAAACAUAUAGAAAAGUCCGUUUGAUUAUGUGGUUGUGUUCUUGAGUGUUCUUGAACUUUCGCCGGAAAGUUAUGAUUUUUGGUCGGAAAAUCGUUCUGUAGAGUAUGAAUUGUUUCUAAAGUCAUGUAUAAGAUCCUGGUGAUGUGUAGAGUCGAUUUAUAGGUUUGAUUUCAGUGUGGGAUAAGGAUUUGGGGCUCGCCGGAUAGUGGUGGCGGCGGUUUUUGACGGAUUUUUCCGGCCAGUUGGCUGCGUUUUUGGUGAAAACAAGGUGCUACAAUGAUUCCUGGUAUAAUAUACUCGUGAUCUGGAGAGUUUUGAAUGUUUCUGGGCUUGGGAAAGGUGGUGCCGGCAUCGUUCCGGCGGAUCUGGGGCCGGCAGUGGCAAAUUGCCAUUUGACCCCCAGAGUUUGGAAGAUGAUGAAGAGGUGACACUGUAGUUUCUGUUUUGACGGUUCAGCCCCUGUAACUUUUGAAAGUUACACUUUAAACCCUGUCAGAAAACUUUCAAAACUAUACACUUUAAACCUUUUGAUUUUAAUUUUCAAAAAUUGUUUUAUUUAAUUAUUUUAAAUUCCAAAAAUAGUUUUUAAUUAUUUCUUUAUUCAAAAAUAAAUCUAAAUUAGUUUGUUAAUUAAUUUUAAUUAGUAAUUAAUUAUUUUAAUUAGUCAAUUAAUUUAAAUAUUAAUUGAUUAAUUAUUUUAAUUAAUUAUUAAUUGAUUUUAAUUGAUUAAUUAAUUGGAUUUAAUUAAUCCUUUUUGAUUUAAAAAUUCCGAAAAAUAGUUUCGAGCUUUAAAAUAUUUUUCCAAAUUAUUUUCAAGGCUCGAUAAUUGUUUAUGAAUGAUUUCAAGUCCAAUUUCAAGUAUUUGGGACUUGAUUAUUUAUCCGAAAAGUGAUUCUUUUAUCGAUUUUAAUUCCGAAAAAUGUUUAAAAAUUCCAGAAAAUUCCCGAAAAAUCAUUUUUAACCCAAGACUUGAUUUAAUAUCAAUUGGGAUGGGAAACCUUAUGUGUUGUGUGUUGUCUGCUAUUGGUUGGAUGUGUUAUGUGCCGAUAGGAGAGUGAGAAAACUGUUUUGAGCAUAACUUUUGAUCCGUAAGUCGGAAUCAAGUGAAACGAAAGAGAGACAGAAGCUUAUAACGUCUAUUUUAAUAUGAUGUGACUAUAUGGCUGAGUCUAUAAGGUGAAUAAUUGUUGAUAAGUAUGCAUAAUGUGAUAAUAUGUGAUCUAAGUGCUAUCAAGUGAUGAUUAUGUGAAGUACGUGUUAGUUUUGAUAUUGUGAAGUGAUAAAUGAUUCGUAUGAUUGAUAUUGGAUAAGAAUAUAUGGAUUAUAGUUAUUGGAUUUUGUUGGUUGAUUAAUGAUUGAGAUAGGAUAACAGGUGGAUAGUCUUAUACAUAGACGAGACGAUGUCGGAUUUUCGAUAAGGAUUUAUAUGAUAAUUGAUUGGUGAUAUGUUAUGUGGAAUAUGAUUGACUAUAUGUUAGAGUCAAAGCAUGCUUAUGUGUUACGUGGUAUCUGAUAAGUUUAAAGGGGUAUAUAAGUGGGUAUCGAUAUACGUGAUAUGUAUAUGCGAUAUAUUGUUUAGUGACUAUAGUAUUAUCUUAUUCUCGUAAAGGAUUUGGACGAGACGUGUACGCUCGAAGACGUCAGAAAGUCGGAAUGGUAUUGCAAAGCGAAUAAGGGAUGAAUCGAGUAAGCGAA
rnacentral:lncRNA from 1 species